UGGAAGCUAGUGUACUUUUGCACGUGUAAGUUUGGGUUACAAAGAAGAAAUAAACGUCUGUUUUCAU
rnacentral:tRNA from 1 species